rnacentral:tRNA from 1 species
GGGGAUUUAGCUCAGUGGUAGAGCGCUUGCCUAGCAAGCUCAAGACCCUGGGUUCGGUCCCCAGUUCCA